ACUAUCUAUUGAGGAGGUGCAGGGGGUCCUCUAGUCUCUCGAUAAGGCCAAGAUUUCAAGCUAGAUGGAUUUCCUCCUCUCUUUUCAUAGGUACCGACCUAUCAUCGAUGGAGGGUGGUUAAGAUAGUGUAGAUAGUUUUUGAUUCUAAUGGCAUUUCGGAGGAGUGGAAGAAGAUGUUGAUCAUCCUCAUCCUAAAGAGACCUAAUGCAUUGGCCCUAGGGCACUUCAAGCUAAUCACUCUUUGUACCACUCUUAUAAAAUGUGUAUAAGGAUCC
rnacentral:lncRNA from 1 species